rnacentral:rRNA from 1 species
CGUUGUUCGUGAAAUCUCACGGCUUAACUGUGAGCGUGCGGGCGAUACGGGCAGACUUGAGUACUGCAGGGGAGACUGGAAUUCCUGGUGUAGCGGUGGAAUGCGCAGAUAUCAGGAGGAACACCGGUGGCGAAGGCGGGUCUCUGGGCAGUAACUGACGCUGAGGAGCGAAAGCGUGGGGAGCGAACAGGAUUAGAUACCCUGGUAGUCCACGCCGUAAACGGUGGGUACUAGGUGUGGGUUUCCUUCCUUGGGAUCCGUGCCGUAGCUAACGCAUUAAGUACCCCGCCUGGGGAGUACGGCCGCAAGGCUAAAACUCAAAGAAAUUGACGGGGGCCCGCACAAGCGGCGGAGCAUGUGGAUUAAUUCGAUGCAACGCGAAGAACCUUACCUGGGUUUGACAUGCACAGGACGCCGGCAGAGAUGUCGGUUCCCUUGUGGCCUGUGUGCAGGUGGUGCAUGGCUGUCGUCAGCUCGUGUCGUGAGAUGUUGGGUUAAGUCCCGCAACGAGCGCAACCCUUGUCUCAUGUUGCCAGCGGGUAAUGCCGGGGACUCGUGAGAGACUGCCGGGGUCAACUCGGAGGAAGGUGGGGAUGACGUCAAGUCAUCAUGCCCCUUAUGUCCAGGGCUUCACACAUGCUACAAUGGCCGGUACAAAGGGCUGCGAUGCCGCGAGGUUAAGCGAAUCCUUUUAAAGCCGGUCUCAGUUCGGAUCGGGGUCUGCACUCGACCCCGUGAAGUCGG